AUUGAACGCUGGCGGCAGGCCUAACACAUGCAAGUCGAGCGGAGCGGCGGACGGGUGAGUAAUGCCUAGGUAUCUGCCUGGUAGUGGGGGCUAACGUCAGGAAACGGGCGGUAAUACCGCAUCCUAUCAGAUGAGCCUAGGUAGGAUUCGCUGGUUGGUGGGGUAAUGGCCUACCAAGACACCGAUCCUGGACUGGUUUGAGAGGAGGAUCAGUCACCCUGGAACGAAGACACGGUCCUGCUUCCUCCGGAAGGUAGAAGUGGGGAAUAUUGGACAAUGGGCGAAAGCCUGAUCCAGCAAUGCGGCGUAUGUGAAGAAGGUCUUCGGAUUGAAAAGCACUUUAAGUUGGGAGGCGUUACCAACAGAAUAAGCACCGGCUAACUUCGUGCCAGCAGCCGCGGUAAUAC
rnacentral:rRNA from 1 species